rnacentral:rRNA from 1 species
AUUGAACGCUGGCGGCAGGCUUAACACAUGCAAGUCGAGCGAGCGGCGGACGGGUGAGUAAUGUCUGGGAAACUGCCUGGUGGAGGGGGAUCACUACUGGAAACGGUAGCUAAUACCGCAUAACAUCAGCUGUGCCCAGAUGGGAUUGGCUAGGAGGUGGGGGAAUGGCUCACCUAGGCGAGGAUCCCUAGCUGGUCUGAGAGGAUGACCAGCCACACUGGAACUGAGACACGGUCCAGACUCCUACGGGAGGCAGCAGUGGGGAAUAUUGGACAAUGGGCGCAAGCCUGAUGCAGCCAUGCCGCGUGUGUGAAGAAGGCCUUCGGGUUGUAAAGCACUUUAAGCGAGGAGGCGUUACUAGCAGAAGAAGCACCGGCUAACUCCGUGCCAGCAGCCGCGGUAAUUC